AAUGAACGUUGGCGGCGUGGAUUAGGCAUGCAAGUCGAGCGCGAACCGUAGCAAUACGGUGAAAGCGGCGAAAGGGACAGUAAUGGGUAGAUCAUCUACCCUCAGGAUCGGGAUAGCUGCGGGAAACUGCAGGUAAUACCGAAUAACAUCUCCGGAUCAAAGGUGUGAUUCCGCCUGAGGAUGAGUCUGCCUCCUAUUAGCUAGUUGGUGGGGUAACGGCCUACCAAGGCAUUGAUGGGUAGCGGGUGUGAGAGCACGACCCGCGUCAUUGGGACUGAGACGCUGCCCAGACACCUACGGGUGGCUGCAGUCGAGAAUCUUCGGCAAUGGGCGAAAGCCUGACCGAGCGACGCCGCGUGUGGGAUGAAGGCCUUCGGGUUGUAAACCACUGUCAGAGGGGAGGAAAUGCGGGUGGGUUCUCCCAUUCGUUUGACCUAGCCUCAGAGGAAGGACGGGCUAAGUUCGUGCCAGCAGCCGCGGUAAUAC
rnacentral:rRNA from 1 species